UAACUGCCAAGGCCACCACUAAAACAUGUCUCUAAGUGCCACGUCUACAGGUCUUUUAAAUGCCUCCAGGGAUGAUUAGAAAGAAGUCACAU